UGUUACAUAACUAAAUCAAACUUACUCUAAACCUCUAGGUAUAGUACUGAAUCCUUUCUGGACUGAGGAAACAAGACAGCAACAUCUCACAAGCCUAUACCUCUCCUUGCUGGCAGCAAGAAGGAUGGCAGAGAGAUGAGUCUUAUUUAAAAAGUGAAUGGAUAUGUAUAUUUAAUUGGACCAGGUUGUUGGUGAGCCAAGUGCCCUUGCAGCCCCAAGAGGCAGAGGAUAACAACUUGUCGAGAACAAAACUUGGUAGGUGAAUUAUACUUUGUGGUCUGUACCACAAUAAGUUAAUUUUUUUCUUAAUGAUGAAAAGUCUGAACAUGUUCACCUGGCUAAACAACUCCUACUUACAUACUGUGUACCAGCAUAGUGCUCCAGCAUAUUCAGGAAAGAGCAGGCUCCAUCGGUUCCAAGCUGAGCAAGGGGAGAAAUGGCUUGGCAUGGGUUCUCUAUCUUGUUUCCAGCUGAGAGAAACAGAACAGAUGGGAGUAGGAGACAACGUGACAGUCCAAAGCGGACAGCAUGAUUAGUGAAAUUCAGAAGAAAAUUAAAGGCAUAAAAUACAUUUCUCAUGUUACUUGUUCAUUUGUAAGCAAUUGUUGUGGUUGCUAUAGCGGUGUCACAU